rnacentral:rRNA from 1 species
UACGUAGGGUGCAAGCGUUAAUCGGAAUUACUGGGCGUAAAGUGUGCGCAGGUGGCCGCGCAUGUCGAGUGUGAAAUCCCCGGGCUUAACUUGGGGAAUUGCGCUCGAAACUACGUGGCUUGAGUACGGAAGAGGCGAGUGGAAUUCCUGGUGUAGCGGUGAAAUGCGCAGAUAUCAGGAGGAACACCAAUGCGAAGGCAGCUCGCUGGGACGUUACUGACGCUGAGACGCGAAAGCGUGGGGAGCAAACAGG